AUGUGUUUGGAGCCUGCUUGUGGGAUUGCGUGUGUGUAGAGUGUGGUGUGGUAUUGUGUAAAUAGGUCAAUUUCAUUUGUGUUUGUGGUGUAAUAUGUGUGGCUAGGGGUAGUGUGUGUGUGUAGGAGAUCUAGUGUGUAAAGGACUCAGAGUGUGUAUAGGAGAUUGUAUGUGUGUGUGUGUGUGUAUAGAGGAUUAAGAGUGCAUAUAGGGUAAAGGAUCUAGCGUGUAUCUGGAGCAUAAUGUGUGUAGUGGUGCCGUGUGAGGGGUGCUGUAGUGUGUGUAUAUAUAUUUGGACGUAUUGUAUGUGUGAGGGGCGCAGUGUGUGUAUGUGUGUGAGGGGUGGUGUGUGUAAGAGGGGGGCUGUGUGUGAGGGUGUUUUUAUCUGCCGUCACAUUUUUUUUUGUCUGUUAACUCACUGAAGGUUAUUUUAUUUAUUAUAUGUGUGGGAGUGUGCUGUGUGUGGGUGCUGUCUCUCUGAGGGAGCAGUGUCUGUUUGGGGGUGCUGCGUGUGUCUGAGGGUGCUGCAUGGGUGCUGCGUGUGUGUCUGGGGGUGCUGUGUGUGUGUCUGGGGGUGCACUGUGUGUGUCUGAGUGUGAGUGUGAAUUUAUUUAAAUAUAUUUUUUAUUAAUAAUUUUUAAAAUGUUAUAUCCCCUCCUCCCUUCUUACCUUUAGCCUGGGGGGGGGGAGCUGUUCUGCAAUGAGGGGGAGCCGUUCUGCCUGGGGUGCCAUGAGGGGGACCGUGCUGCCAUCCUCCCCUGGUGGUCCAGUGGUGAGUGUGAACACUCAGAAUCCCGCGAGAGGACCCGGCGGAGCUGCUGGUUAGAGCUCCGCUGGUCCUCUCCUCCCUCCCCAGCUGGCGGCCGGUUAUAAUUGCCUGUGGGCUGGUGAGGGAGAUCUUUGAUC